CCCUUAGAUGUCCUGGGCCGCACGCGCGUUACACUGAUGCAUUCAACGAGCUUAUAACCUUGGCCGAGAGGCCUGGGCAAUCUUGUUAACGUGCAUCGUGAUAGGGAUAGAUUAUUGAAAUUAUUAAUCUUGAACGAGGAACUCCUAGUAAACGCAGAUCAUCAAUCUGCAUUGAUUACGUCCCUGCCCUUUGUACACACCGCCCGUCGCACCUACCGAUUGGAUGGUCCGGUGAAGCCUCGGGAUUGUGGUUCUUGCCGCUUAUUGUGGCGUGACCGCGAGAACUUGUCUAAACCUUAUCAUCUAGAGGAAGGUGAAGUCGUAACA
rnacentral:rRNA from 1 species